rnacentral:rRNA from 1 species
AUGGCCCUGUUUGAGGAGUUCUUCGUGGGUUCCAUUGACCUCACCAGACUGAACUUCAGAAUCAUUACCCUCAUCCCCAAAGUUACCGGGGCCUCAGAUAUCCGCCAGUUCCGGCCAAUUAUGGUGAUUAACGUCAUCUUUCGCAUCCUUGCGAAGGGGUUUGCCAUUAGGGUGGCCCCUAUUGCCGACGGGAUCACCCACCCCGACCAGUCGGCAUUCAUUCAGGGCCAAUUCAUCCUUGACGGAGUCCUGGUUUUCCAUGAAGCUCUCCAAGAGGUGCGCUCCAAACACCUCAAGGCAGUCUUCCUGAAACUGGAUUUCCACAAGGCGUAUGAUACGGUCAGUUGGCCCUUC